rnacentral:rRNA from 1 species
AGCGAACGCUGGCGGCAGGCUUAACACAUGCAAGUCGAGCGGGCAUCCUUGUGGUAUCCGCGGCAGACGGGUGAGUAACGCGUGGGAACGUGCCCUUCGGUUCGGAAUAACUCAGGGAAACUUGAGCUAAUACCGGAUACGCCCUUUUGGGGAAAGGUUUACUGCCGAAGGAUCGGCCCGCGUCUGAUUAGCUAGUUGGUGAGGUUAUGGCUCACCAAGGCGACGAUCAGUAGCUGGUCUGAGAGGAUGAUCAGCCACACUGGGACUGAGACACGGCCCAGACUCCUACGGGAGGCAGCAGUGGGGAAUAUUGGACAAUGGGGGCAACCCUGAUCCAGCCAUGCCGCGUGAGUGAUGACGGCCUUAGGGUUGUAAAGCUCUUUUCUCCGGGACGAUAAUGACGGUACCGGAGGAAUAAGCCCCGGCUAACUUCGUG